rnacentral:rRNA from 1 species
ACGUACUGUGCGAACGUUAUUCGGAAUCACUGGGCUUAAAGGGUGCGUAGGCGGCAAUUCAAGUCAGAUGUGAAAUGCCUGAGCUCAACUGAGGCAUUGCGUUUGAAACUGAUUUGCUAGAGUAUUUCAGGGGUGUGCGGAACUGCCAGUGGAGCGGUGAAAUGUGUUGAUAUUGGCAGGAACACCGGAGGCGAAAGCGGCACACUGGGGAAUAACUGACGCUGAGGCACGAAAGCUAGGGGAGCGAACGGG